rnacentral:rRNA from 1 species
UACAGAGGGUGCAAGCGUUGUUCGGAAUUACUGGGCGUAAAGGGCGCGUAGGCGGUUUCGUAAGUCCCGUGUGAAAGCCCCCGGCUCAACUGGGGAAUUGCACGGGAAACUGCGAGGCUUGAGUUCGGGAGAGGGAAGCGGAAUUCCGGGUGUAGCGGUGAAAUGCGUAGAUAUCCGGAGGAACACCGGUGGCGAAGGCGGCUUCCUGGACCGACACUGACGCUGAGGCGCGAAAGCUAGGGGAGCAAACGGG